rnacentral:rRNA from 1 species
ACCAAGCCUUCGGGCUUGGGGACAGCGGCGAACGGGUGAGUAACACGUGGGUAAUCAACCCUUGACACUGGGAUAGCCCGGGGAAACCCGGAUUAAUACCGGAUACUCCAUCUGGCUUUCGGGCCGGCUGGAAAAGGUAGCUUCGGCCUCCGGUCAGGGACGAGCCCGCGGCGGAUUAGCUUGUUGGUGGGGUAAAGGCCCACCAAGGCGACGAUCCGUAGCUGGUCUGAGAGGACGAUCAGCCACACUGGGACUGAGACACGGCCCAGACUCCUACGGGAGGCAGCAGUGGGGAAUCUUGCGCAAUGGGCGAAAGCCUGACGCAGCGACGCCGCGUGAGGGAAGAAGGCCUUCGGG